rnacentral:rRNA from 1 species
UACGUAGGGUGCAAGCGUUGUCCGGAAUUAUUGGGCGUAAAGAGCUCGUAGGCGGCUUGUCGCGUCGACUGUGAAAACCCGCGGCUCAACUGUGGGCUUGCAGUCGAUACGGGCAGGCUGGAGUUCGGUAGGGGAGACUGGAAUUCCUGGUGUAGCGGCGAAAUGCGCAGAUAUCAGGAGGAACACCGGUGGCGAAGGCGGGUCUCUGGGCCGAUACUGACGCUGAGGAGCGAAAGCGUGGGGAGCGAACAGG